rnacentral:rRNA from 1 species
AACGAACGCUGGCGGCAGGCCUAACACAUGCAAGUCGAGCGAGCAUUUCGGUGCUAGCGGCGGACGGGUGAGUAACGCGUGGGAACGUGCCCUUUUCUGCGGAAUAGUCCUGGGAAACUGGGGGUAAUACCGCAUACGUCCUUUUGGGGAAAGAUUUAUCGGAGAAGGAUCGGCCCGCGUUGGAUUAGGUAGUUGGUGGGGUAAUGGCCCACCAAGCCGACGAUCCAUAGCUGGUUUGAGAGGAUGAUCAGCCACACUGGGACUGAGACACGGCCCAGACUCCUACGGGAGGCAGCAGUGGGGAAUCUUAGACAAUGGGGGCAACCCUGAUCUAGCCAUGCCGCGUGAGUGAUGAAGGCCUUAGGGUUGUAAAGCUCUUUCAGCUGGGAAGAUAAUGACGGUACCAGCAGAAGAAGCCCCGGCUAACUCCGUG